GGCAACUUAGCUUGCAGCAGGAAUGUGGGCGAGGCAAGUGGCUCAGAAGGAACCCUCCCUAGUUUCUUCAGCUGAAAAGGGGACGGGGCGGAGGAAUGUACUUUUAGACUUGCAAGAUUCUGUUAAUAUAACCUUACAAUAAAGUAGAAUUAGCUCAUCUGGCCGUGCUUUCUGAGUUUAGCUGAAGUUGGGGUUGGGAGUCGGGUGGCAUACAGAUUUAAUAAAUAAAUAAAUAAAUAAAUUUUAAAAAAUGGUAGCACAAGAUUUGGGGCUAUGACAAGACUGAGGAAAAUUGAAGAAGAUGCACAGAAACGGAUAAGGAGUAAGAGUAACAUGCAGAGGAAAUUAGGGAUUCUGCAGUGUAGUAAAGUCAGGAAUAAGAAAGAGUUCUGAUAGUGAAAAUAAUAAACUCCUAGUUUGUUGGUAGAAAUAGUUUGCUUGUGUCUCGUUUGUUACUCAAGACCUUGUGUACAAACAUCAAAGCCAUCCUUUAAUUAGCACUGUAUAGUCUUGACCAGUUUGCUCGCCUGCUUGUUUGCUUGUUUAUUUAUUUAAUAUUUCAGAUUUAGUCACUGCUCAUCUCAGCUUGAGAAAGCUUUACUUCAGGACAUGGAGGAAUUUUGUGACAAUAGCAAAAUUCAAUCGCUAAGUGAGGAACUCCAUGUUGGUAAUUGUUGGCUGUGCCAAAUCCUUGAUGUCAUCUAUUUACUGACCUUCAGACACUUAAGCGAAUAUAUCAUUUCUCUUGUAUUCAAACAACUGCUAUUUGAACUGAGAGAGAAGUCCAGAAUAAUUAAGUAAUCAGUGGAAUCAUUCUCUCAAGUAAGAGGCUAGGUGGGAAGUUAAUACUAACCCUUCUGGGAUCUAAAAACAAUAUCAUUUUUUUCUGUAGUGUACUAUUCACCAGGCAUUGGGUCAAUGGGUCAUAGGGGCUGAGAGUGAAAGAAAGUUGCAAGUAGUUGGCACUGAAGAAGAGAAAUAAUAACCUGCAAGCAAUAGGUAAGAAGAAAAGGCUUGGGCUAUGGAUGUUGCCAUGCAACUGGCUUGCUUUUCAUCCGUUGUGAAGCUCCAGUCAUUAUCUUAAUGAAGAACAAACAGAAUUUUGUAAGCUACAGAAAAUCUGCAAGACUGAAAGACCAGAAAUACAUGGUCUCUACAUUCUGUUUACAAAGUCUUUAGGACAAUCUUUCCUAUCUUAAUGUGUAAAGAACAUUUGAUCUACAAAGUGUAUUACUCUGACAUUAGCCAUACUGUUUGGAGCUAGUAGGAACUGUAGUCCAAAACAUGUGGGAACCCAAGAUGCUGUAGACCUAAUAGUCCUUACUGUACUUGAUUAAUAAUUUCAUAUUCUUAUAAUUAUUUUUAGCAUUAUUGCAGCCUAGCAUAUUAGGAGAAAUAAAUUUAGGCAUCUGUAUUCUCUGUUUCUUUGGUACCCAAAUUACAUUAAAAUUAUGAUUCUUACAAAAUUGAUAUACUAGAGCUUGGCUCAGGCCAAUUUGUCAUAUGAAUACUGUUUUGAUGCAAAGAUUUAUUUGCCAUUAAACAUAGAUGCCUCGUUUCUGCAACUUAAUUCCCAUAAUCUGCAUGGUAAAGCUGUGGUAAAUCUUUUUUCAUGUGGUGGCCAAGAAAACAACAUGGAUGUGUCCAGGUAGUUCACAGGAGUUGAGUUUGCAUUUUUCCCAUUGAAGCAAGUGACAAUGUGUGCGCACAAAACUGAGAGCAGCUUCUGAAGAAGCUGUGUAAGCCUAGAAAAAGAUGUAUCCACUUUAAAAAGCUGGCUUCUAGUUAUGCCAGAAGAUGGGACUUCCCUCCAAAGGCUGUUAAGAUGGCAGCCCAAUACAUACGUUCCCAAGACUUUUCUUAUGCAAUGACCUGGCUUUAGCUACAGCAUUUUAUAAGAAAUGAAGAUGUUGGAGCCUCCAUUUGUUAGGUUUACAGUUAGCCAGGAAACAACAGUUCCACAGGUAAACAAAUAUUCUGACUCUUUGAAACUCUCAGGUUGUGAUUCCACCGUGGACUCUUCUAAUCAUUGUCUGAUGAAACAAAGAUCAUUCACUUUUACUAAGCAGGGGAAGUCUAUAAAAUUAUUUAUUUAUUGAAUUUCUAGUCUGCUCAACUCCAGAAGAACUCUGAUUAAUUUUAUCAAGUUAAAUGAAACAACUUAUAUAAAAGGAACAACUGUCAUUCUAGAGAACAACACAACAUCCUUCCACAUAACCCCCAACUUUAAGGGCCCUGCCCAAAUACCCUAAGCCAAGGUCUGGGGAAAACAUCAUGUUUUUAAGGAUUGCUUGAAAGAGGGGAAGAUGGAGGCCAUGCAAAUCUCUGGAUGGAUGCUACUCCUAAGGGCAGGUGCUAUGACAGAGAAGGCCCACCUCCCAGGUCCUGUUGGGUGACAUUGAUUAAUCAACAGGACCUGAAGGAAGCUGACUCGGAGCACACAGGACAGGCAGCCAGUAUGGGAGACAGGCUGUCCCUCAAAUAGCUGUGCCACGUAACACCUUGAAUUGCACCCAGAAGUCAACUAGCAACCAGUGCAGCUCACGUAGCACGGUUGUUACAGUUAGGCUUAUCCAUCACUGUUCUAAAGGCAACAGCAGUUUUGAUGAAUAGCAAUUUAUGUGGUGAAAAUCUCUAAAGACAGUAACAAUUUUAACUGUGAGAAACAGUUAUUAGGAAAUGAAAGUUAUACAUUCCAAAAACAAGAAUAGAAAAACUCUUAGCUGGUUAUAUGAACUGUUAUUUCUGCCAAAGGAGGUGUUAAACAAUACUGACAGAAAGGAUGUCCAACCUUCUGCACCCACUGUUCACUUAGUGAUUAACUGAAACAUACAUUUGACCUGGGGUGCCUAGUUUUCGUAUUCUCCUGUGAACCGCUCAGAAAUAGCAAGAGUGCAUUCAGAUUUGCAGAAGGAUGUCAUGUUUAACUUUGUACCAUGCAUCGAUUGUGUCAUCUCUGUUCUGUUAGUUUCAUGCAGUUUUAUGUUGUGAAAAUCUUCAGAGAUGACCAUACCAGGAAAAGAAAUCAUAUACAUUCAUUUGAAAUAGCAUAAAGGAAUAAAAACAGAUCUCUUAAAAUGUAAAUGAACCCUGGAGUGAAAAAACAUUUAGUCUUGUCAUUUUCUGUGUGAGGAACAAGAAGAGUGAGCAGGUGUCACUUUGGUCUUCGCUCUGAGUUUUAACUUCCCAACUGCAUUCUCCUGUGAGGUUAAGCUAAGAGAAAAUGUACAGCCUUCAUAGUUUAGUGGGUUUUGAAAGCCAUGUCACCCCUCUCCUUAUUCAGUACUCUGGUGAUUAUGUACAGUGACCCUUUCCUACCCACUGAAUGGCAAAGUGAAGUUCUCUCUGAGUGAUUUCACAGGAUCUAUUGUGCCGUCUCUUUAAGUUUUUUAGAGGCUUUAGUGUUGGAGCUGCCUUAGAAUGUUAAAUAGUUUUAACAUUUUGUGUAUUAUAUAUGCAUUCUUAUGAGCUGCCUGAAACUAUUGGCCUGGAAGGCAUAUGCAUUUAUUAAACAAUAAACAAAGUGAGGUGGUCAGGGAAAGAGGAUGGUUUUAUAAUUGCGAUAAUUUCAUACAAUUCGGCAUGUAGAAUUGUACUACUGUACAUAAUCAGCAUACUCCUAGUUGUUUAAUAUGAGAAGAUCUUUCAUUUCCAGAAUUACUUUCCUCCAAAAUGUUUUCACUCUACUUUUAAAUCAUAAAAGGGGAAAACAAAGUGCUCCUUCUAACUGGAGAUGCAUCAUCUGGCAUCUCAGGACUACGUGCGGUCCAUUAAUGUCUUGGGUAUAGCAACUCCAAAAGUCGCAAUCAAUUUAUAUUUUCAUAUUACAGGAAAGGAACUGAUUAACUAUAUUAUUAGAGGAUAUUUUUAUUAACUCUGUUUAACAUUAAUUACAUUGAAAUGUAAAUGAAAUAAAAACUAAUCCAAUUUUUGUCAUGGCUUCACUUACUACUUUUGGACUAUAGAACCACUUAGAAGGCAAGUGUGGCCCAUCCCAGAAAAUGUUGGACCUCAUCUUCUAAAUAUUGAUAGGGUAGAGGGCUAAGACAGCCUCAGAACAGAUGAGGAAAAGUCCACUGGCAAGAUCAAGAAGAAGAACUAAGAGACAUACUGUGAGAACAUUUAGCUUCCCUAUGGCCAAUCCUUAGAGGAAGUGAAUAAAACUUUUAAGAAGCAUAUGAAAAAUAUUGCUGAUCAGUACAAAAAUAAGAGGAAUUGACUAGUGCAAAAAAGUCAUGAUGGCACCAGCCUGUUAGUGCAAAGAAGUGAGCAUGGUUUCAUCUACUAUUAGGUAAUUUUAGCUUUAUAAUGUCUUUACAAAGAAAUUGCACUUAUUACUCUUCACAAAUGUGUUGAUGACUUUUAAUUGGGAGAUUGUAAUUUACAUUUUUAAAUCUUACUCAUCCUGGGGCCUUCUUGUUGUGAUAUACUAUAGCUCUGAUUCUCAGCCAGCGCUGAUUAAUGACCUGUUGAGUAGGAUCAUACCAUAUUUGAGCUGCAAAUACUGUAUCUGGACCAUGGGUAGAUGACAGCAGAGAGCUACAGAAAACAGUCGUUUUUUGCUGCCAUACAGUGAUUAUUCAGAUUUUUGCAGCCCAAAUAUGGUAUGCCUGAUGUAGGUUCAAGAUUGUGGGGGUUAUAUUCCAACACAUUUGGUGGGCACUUAAGAGUGAGACACUUCAGGAGGUUUAAACUUCCAUUUUGGAAUCUUAAGUGCAAGAUGAAAUACAUAUUUUAAAUAUAGCAUCUUUUUCAGAAAAAUAGUUGGCUGGCCCAUUUUGUCUUAGACAACUAAAGGAUUUUUUGAAAUUCUGUUCAGUUGCCCAUGUUUCCAUGCUUUUUCUUCUUUUUUGCUACAUAAACCCUCCACUAAAGUCACUUGUUGAGAAAAUACUUUGAAAGAGAGGGGCAGGGAUAAGAAAGCUGAGUCUACUCUUAUUCACAAUUCCACUUAAUUGUAAUAUCUCAUUGUGUUUUCUCUCUUUAAAGAGCACACUGUGGGAUAGGGUUGGCUACAUUCUAUUUUUUUAGCUAUGGCAGCACUGUGGGAUAUUCAGAUUCUGUGUUGUACUUUGUCAGAAAAUGAUCUGGUGGGAUACAUGUAUACCUACCAGAACCAUGGCUUAUUCCUCACCAGUACCCACAAACUAGACUAAUCACAUAAGCUAGAAAACUUUUGUGAAUUACCUCUAAGCAUCCUAGAGCUUGCCAGAUGUGCAGAGACUUGAAAAUAGGGGUGUGGAUUCCUCCUGAUGUGCAUACCACAUUGUUUUUAUAAGCAAAAGCAACUCUGUAAGGAAAUCUACACGUUGUCUCAAUCUCUAACCAUCUGUUAUGAGCUAUUCAAUGGUUGGCAAACUUUUUACCUUCAGGGAAUAUGUUCUACAUUGAGUGCUACCAAACACAGCAAAAACUCUGCAUUUCAGAUCAUUAGCUUCUUGUACCUCUCACAGGGGAUCCAGCAAAUCAGUGAUGAUUCAGAUUGUAAAAGAAUCAGGUUCUUUAGAUGUUUCUGUCUCAAAGUUGGAGGCAACAUGUCUGCUUGUGAGCUGCUCCCAACUUUUGUGAAUUGAGGGACAGUUACUCCCCAUGUCCCCUGUCUUCCAGUUCUGGAAAACAGUUUUUAUACUUCCCUGGGGGAGUUUGUCCAAGAGGAUAAGGGAAUGGUUUUACUCUCGUUCAGGUUUGAUUCCGCAGUGGGACAGUUUGAUUCUGCAGUGGUUGUGAUAUGGUAGGAAUCAUUGUCUCAUCUGCAGAGGAAUCCUCAAGCAAUUACUCUCUAAAGCAGUGUUUCUCAACCAUGGCAACUUUAAGAUAUGUGGACUUCAACUCCCAGAAUAGAAAAACAUUGCUCUAAAGACAUGCUGAAUGCAGCAGAGGAUUCUGGCACAUAUUCCACUAUGCAUUACUUGGUUUCAUUGCAGUUCUGUCUGAAUUAUAUACUAAAUUAUACUGAGCAUUACUUUGCUGCUGUGCUUACAUUAAAAAAAAAUGCAAGAGGUUUUUGUUUUUUGUUUUGGUUUUUUUUUACUAUGCAGAGUACAGGAAUAAGAAUGUUGACCAAAAAGGCUAACUGGUUGGGAGACCUUUUCCUGGGAAAAGACAAAAGUGAGAUUAAGAUUACAAGGAGCAGAAAACAAUAAUAGUGAGGAAAAAAGGACUGCUUAAUCUCUCUGACUUUUUCCAAGAAUUGCUCAAUUUGAGUUGCUUUUCUUCCUGUGAGGGAGAAUAUGGUUGUGCUCGCAUGACAGGCUUGUCAAAGUCAAGUUUUAUUUGGUUGUCCAGUGAAUUUUGGACUUACAGUCCACGUGCAUUUUGCCCAUGUGUGUUGGAUUUGUAUAUAGACCUUGCUCACAGCCUUGGAAGAGGGGAGAAUAAUUUUAAGACAAUUUUGUCUCUUUUUGUUUGCUGAAUUAUGCAAAUCUAUCUUCAUUAUCUAUUCUUAGUUUAAUUACAGUUUGUUCAGUUGUUCCAAUUGCUUGAAUUUGUAUAGCACCCUAAGCUCUCUACAGUACAGGGUUCUGCUUGCAUGAAUUACUAAAAUGGAAUUGGCUAAUUAGUAUUUCAGUGUGUAAUAUAAGCGCAGCUUCUGUGGGGCCUGGAUCUUUUUAACUCUUGGGAGAAAAGCAGAUGGGCAGAAAGGAACAGUUUAGAAAGGAAAGGAGGGGCUUUUCUUGAGAAAGCAAGCUUAUAUAGCUUAAAAAUGUAAUGGGUGGGGAGGAUCAUAGAUAUAUGUGUGUGCAUGUGCGUGUAUAUACAUACAUACAUACAUACAUACAUACAUACAUACAUAAACAUACUAGAAAAUAAAUACAGAGAUGGUAAUAGUGUAAUAGAAGUUCUCGUUGCAGGAAGAAAGAACUUAAUUCUUGUUCUGGUAGAGAAGGGAGAUAACCUCUUUGUGGUUAUGCAUUCAAAUGGUGACCACAGGAUGAUAUGGUUUGGUUUGGUUUGGUUUGAUAACAGCACUUUAUGUCUGAAGGCGCAGAAGGAGUUGGACUUGGGACAUUUGACUGCUGCGUUGUUCAGCUGAUUCUACAGAGGGCAGGGGGUAAGGCCUGGUGCCAACAUAUCUUGGAAGUACUUGGUGCCUGAACUGAAACAUGAAUGUGACCACAGCCUAGGGAAUAUUAUGCUUUCGUCAGCCUUUCACCUACAUGUACUUCCCCAUGGGGUUUGCCAUACAUUCUCAUUGCCUUUUUGAAAGGAAGGAUUGACUAAUAAUCUAUUGUUUUGCAUGUGGAACUGGCACUGACAACAACCGAUGAGACAGCACACAAGUUUCCAGCAUACAGAUAUUAUUAAUUGGAUCAUUGGAUCAAAGGAAUUUAAACUGGCUUUUGUUUUUCUCCAUUUGAUGAAGUUAUUGUAACACUGCAUGCAAACACACUGAGCUGGGUUAUAAAUAUGCUUUAGAGAUUACAAAAACGUGAAUCCCUGUAAAACAGCCAUCAUGGGUCCCACUCAGCUUGUCACACAGAACCAUGGGAAGAAGACAAGUGUUUUUAACAUGGAGGAAAAAGUGUUUGCACUUUUCCAGAGCUCAGAGAUUCCCUCUGAGCCUGUAGAAAACCCUCCCCUGAAAAGGAAGAAGGGGCCAGCCCCUAAGAUGCUUGGAAACGAGGUGUGCAGUGUAUGUGGGGACAAAGCCUCAGGCUUCCAUUACAAUGUCCUGAGUUGUGAGGGCUGCAAAGGUUUUUUCCGACGCAGCGUCAUCAAAGGGGCCCAGUAUAUCUGCAAGAACAGUGGCAGGUGUGAGAUGGAUAUGUACAUGCGCCGGAAAUGUCAGGAGUGCCGGUUGCGCAAGUGCUAUGAAGCAGGCAUGCGAGAACAAUGUGUUCUCUCUGAAGAGCAGAUCCAGCUGAAGAAGCUUAAGAAGCGGGAAGAUGAUCAAGCCCGGAUGAUAGCUAUGCGUCAGAACCCACCAUCUCCUCCAAGCACCUCUCCCAAAAUGACACUAGAGCAGCUUGUUAUGAUAGAAAAGCUUGUUGCAGCUCAACAACAGUGUAAUCAACGGUCUUUCACGGAUAGACUCAAAGUGACGCCAUGGCCUCAGAUUUCAGAUCCUCUUCACCGUGAAGCAAGACAACAGCGCUUUGCUCAUUUCACAGAGCUUGCCAUCAUUUCUGUGCAGGAAAUUGUGGACUUUGCAAAACAGUUGCCAGGCUUCUUGGAACUCACUAGAGAAGACCAGAUUGCUCUUCUGAAGACUUCUACAAUAGAAGUGAUGCUGUUGGAGACAUCUAGGCGCUACAAUCCAGAAACAGAAAGCAUAACCUUUUUGAAAGAUUUGAGUUACAAUCGGGAUGAUUUUUCCAACGCUGGCCUGCAAAUUGAGUUUAUUAAUCCCAUCUUUGGAUUUUCAAAGAGAAUGAAAGAACUACAGCUCAGUGAUGCUGAAUAUGCACUUUUAAUUGCCAUCAGCAUUUUUUCUGCAGACCGGCCAAAUGUUCAAGAUCAAUCACUGGUCGAAAAGCUGCAGCAUACCUAUGUAGAAGCCCUUCACUCAUACAUUUGUAUUCACAGACCAAAUGAUCAUCUAAUGUUCCCACGGAUGUUAAUGAAACUGGUCAGUCUUCGGACUUUAAGUAGUGUUCAUUCUGAACAAGUGUUUGCUCUUCGGCUACAGGACAAAAAGCUGCCACCGCUUCUUUCAGAGAUCUGGGAUGUUAAUGAAUGACUAUAUUGUCUAAGGAGAGUGAGCUAUUACAUCAAUUACCUUUUGCCAAUAAGAACUGUUCUCCUUUAUCAAAAGAACUGAAGCAAUGGAGAAAACUGUGAUUUCUUUGCUCUGAUGGAAUAUAUAUAGAAAACAGAUGAGAUGGAUCAGAUGAUGUUUUAGUCAUUAUUUUUCAGAAAUGGAACUGAAAUACCUCACAUGGAAGAGAAAAAGAAUCCAUCCUAAUAAUUUUCCAGGAACUUUUUUUUACCCCUUUUUUCCUAUUUAAUUUCAAGGCCACACCAUCCAGACUUAUAGAAUCUUCUUGGGAGUUUCAGAAGCAAGCUUCCUUGUAUAACUUUUUUUUUUUUUUGAUCCUCUGGGCUGAAUGUAGUUAAAACAUGUUGACAUUCAAAACAAUUAAUAGAAAGCUGGAUAGACUGUGGACAUAUGUGGCUUAGGUGCUAUUUUGCAGACUUUACAGAAGCGACUCUUUGGAUUGGAAGGAUAGCUAUACUGUACCAUAGAAAUCUCCUAGGACCUUUUAUAAUAUUUCUGCCCUCUACCCCCCAUCAAGAAAUACAGUCAUUACUGAUAUACGUACAAUAACUAGGAAGACAUGAUCUGUUAUAUGAAACUCCUUUGAAUAUGGAGAGGUACAUCAUACAAACACAUAAUCUAGAUCAGGGGUCCUCAAACUUUUUAAACGGGCCAGUUCACGGUCCCUCAGAAUGUUGGGGGG